ensembl:lncRNA
GGGGCUUCCAGAACCCAAACCAAGUCAGCAGCCCCCAGCCCCAGCUCCAGCCCCAGCCCCAGCCCCGGCCUCCCCUGUCUGAGGUGUCUGGGUUUAAUUUUCUGGUCAGUGCAGAAAGCAGGAGGAAGAGGACGAGGAGGAGGAGAAGAAAGGAGCGAGUUGAAGUUCUAAUGCAGUCGGCUGGGAUCUGUCACUCAGCGCACAGCCCGCUGACGACUCAGGGCAGCCCCAGCUGUAAGCAGCCCAUGAUUUAUGGACACCGAGUGAACUCCUGCGGCAGAAACCAGCCUUGAGAUCAGAGCGGCAAUAGGGCCCUUUUUUUGGCAGGAGACAGGGCCUGCAUUUUUCUCAUUCAUGCCAAACUGCUUUGCACGGCAAUUAGCUCUGUCCUCAUUUAGUCUCCAGUCCCAAAGGGUAAUGAAAGUCAUAUAUCAUCUUCAAGACUGCUAAUUAUUGAGCUCGCUUACAGUUGUCCGCCGACCUUCUGGAUUGUAAUCCAAACCAGCAGACUUCCGUGGGUGCGGUUAACUAAGGGAAGUUGUUUUUUUGUGAAGAGAUUGCUCCGAUACAAGCUAAUAAUCCAUCAUAUCCAGAAGCAAAACAAAGAGCAUGGACUUCGGAGACAGACUUCCAGGAAUCGGAUCUCAGUUCCAUCAUUUACUUGUCCUGUGAUCAUGAGCAAGGCAGCUCAGUCCCGCUGCUCAAGUUGGGGAGACAAAAGGGAGCGGUGCGCACUGCGGGGAUCCGCGCCAGGAUAGAGGGUCCCUCCACCCCGCGCCUCGGCGGAGCAGAGCUUGAAACCCAGAACCUCAGACGGCGUCCACCUGGUCGCCCCAACGAGGCCGAGAAUGGGAGCCCAGAUCCUGACCUGGCCGGAUUGGUAGGGGCUUCUGGAUCCCGGGCCCCGGUGCUCUGUCCCGCGGCGCAGACGGGGAUAGACUGCAGACUGCGGAGAAAUCGGGACGUGGAAAAGCAGCCGCGGCGCCAGCCAGCCGCGGGUCCGGCCUCUGGAGAGAGGAAGCAGCCGGGCGGGGAGGGGGUUGCCUGGAGGGGUAGGCUGGUGGCUGCCUCUGGCCCUCGGCAGCCAGAAGAAGAAGCGAAGAGCAAAACUCCUUUUCUCCCUAGGGACAAGAGGGCUCCGGCGCGCUCUCCUCCCCAGGCCUGGGAAACAGGUUCUCAAGCGCCCUCCGACCUCCAAUCGAUCCCAGUCUCCCGCCUGCGACAGGGGAUGCUUGGAGAGCGAGGAGAGGGACGCGGGGAGCGGCACCUCCCCCAGGCCGAGGCUGGGCGGCCGAGUCCCGACCUGCGCCGCUCUGAGCAAAACGAAACUCAAACUCCCAAAAUUCUCGACAGGGGAAUUUUAAAAAUUCCCCACCCCCCUUUCCUUUCACUUUUAACAAACCAGCAGCUGGGGGAAAAAUUAAACGAAAUGAGCGAUAGCUAAGGACGCUAUCUUUCCAAACUGUGAAACCCCUUUAAAAAAUAUUUUCGAAGGCCAGCCCCACAACUGGCCAGCUCUUCUGAAGCCUAUGCCUCUUCCUGAAAAUCACAUCAAAACAGUCGGAAAUGCGGCCAAGGUCCUGGGAUGGAGUAGCCGAGAGGCCCAGAGAACCCGCUGCUGCUGAAACCGCCAUGCUCUUCUUUCUCUUUAACCAAAAAAUAAAAAAGAUAAUAAUAAGAAGUAAAACCUUUUA